rnacentral:rRNA from 1 species
GAGUUUGAUCGUGGCUCAGGACGAACGCUGGCGGCGCGCCUAACACAUGCAAGUCGAACGGAGCUGAGAGGAGCUUGCUUUUCUCAGCUUAGUGGCGAACGGGUGAGUAACGCGUGAGUAACCUGCCCUGGAGUGGGGGACAACAGUUGGAAACGACUGCUAAUACCGCAUAAGCCCACGGCCCGGCAUCGGGCUGCGGGGAAAGAUUUAUUCGCUUCAGGAUGGACUCGCGUCCAAUUAGCUAGUUGGUGAGGUAACGGCCCACCAAGGCGACGAUUGGUAGCCGGACUGAGAGGUUGAACGGCCACAUUGGGACUGAGACACGGCCCAGACUCCUACGGGAGGCAGCAGUGGGGGGAUAUUGCACAAUGGGGGAAACCCUGAUGCAGCGACGCCGCGUGGAGGAAG